AACCCCGCCUGCAUGUGCGUUAACCUGACACAAGCGAAUCAUAAGAAAGAUUUAAAAAAGCGGAAGGAACUCGGCAAAUCUUAGCCCCGCCUGUUUACCAAAAACAUCACCUCUUGCCCCCCAUAAGAGGCCCAGCCUGCCCAGUGACCCAAUUCAACGGCCGCGGUAUCCUGACCGUGCGAAGGUAGCGUAAUCACUUGUUCUUUAAAUAAGGACUAGUAUGAACGGCAUCACGAGGGCUGUACUGUCUCCCGCCUUUAAUCAGUGAACUUAAUCUCCCCGUGAAGAAGCGGGGAUAAUCUCAUAAGACGAGAAGACCCCAUGGAGCUUUAAACAAAGGGCACCUGCUAACCAAAUCACCCAAGGCAAGCAUUUUGACCCGACGUUUUCGGUUGGGGCGACCACGGAGAACAACCCACCCUCCAUGCUGAAAGAUACCCUCUAAGCCAAAAUAAACCUAUUUAAGCAUCAGCACCCUGACACCCAUUGACCCAAUCUACUUGAUCAACGAACCAAGUUACCCUGGGGAUAACAGCGCAAUCCACUUCAAGAGCCCCUAUCGACAAGUGGGUUUACGACCUCGAUGUUGG
rnacentral:rRNA from 1 species